rnacentral:rRNA from 1 species
UAGGGAAUCUUCCACAAUGGACGAAAGUCUGAUGGAGCAACGCCGCGUGAGUGAAGAAGGGUUUCGGCUCGUAAAGCUCUGUUGUUAAAGAAGAACGUGGGUAAGAGUAACUGUUUACCCAGUGACGGUAUUUAACCAGAAAGCCACGGCUAACUACGUGCAAG